rnacentral:rRNA from 1 species
GGGUUGUGAGGUUAAGCGACUAAGCGUACACGGUGGAUGCCCUGGCAGUCAGAGGCGAUGAAGGACGUGCUAAUCUGCGAUAAGCGUCGGUAAGGUGAUAUGAACCGUUAUAACCGGCGAUUUCCGAAUGGGGAAACCCAGUGUGAUUCGUCACACUAUCAUUAACUGAAUCCAUAGGUUAAUGAGGCGAACCGGGGGAACUGAAACAUCUAAGUACCCCGAGGAAAAGAAAUCAACCGAGAUUCCCCCAGUAGCGGCGAGCGAACGGGGAGCAGCCCAGAGCCUGAAUCAGUGUGUGUGUUAGUGGAAGCGUCUGGAAAGGCGCGCGAUACAGGGUGACAGCCCCGUACACAAAAAUGCACAUGCUGUGAGCUCGAUGAGUAGGGCGGGACACGUGGUAUCCUGUCUGAAUAUGGGGGGACCAUCCUCCAAGGCUAAAUACUCCUGACUGACCGAUAGUGAACCAGUACCGUGAGGGAAAGGCGAAAAGAACCCCGGCGAGGGGAGUGAAAAAGAACCUGAAACCGUGUACGUACAAGCAGUGGGAGCACGCUUAGGCGUGUGACUGCGUACCUUUUGUAUAAUGGGUCAGCGACUUAUAUUCUGUAGCAAGGUUAACCGAAUAGGGGAGCCGAAGGGAAACCGAGUCUUAACUGGGCGUUAAGUUGCAGGGUAUAGACCCGAAACCCGGUGAUCUAGCCAUGGGCAGGUUGAAGGUUGGGUAACACUAACUGGAGGACCGAACCGACUAAUGUUGAAAAAUUAGCGGAUGACUUGUGGCUGGGGGUGAAAGGCCAAUCAAACCGGGAGAUAGCUGGUUCUCCCCGAAAGCUAUUUAGGUAGCGCCUCGUGAAUUCAUCUCCGGGGGUAGAGCACUGUUUCGGCAAGGGGGUCAUCCCGACUUACCAACCCGAUGCAAACUGCGAAUACCGGAGAAUGUUAUCACGGGAGACACACGGCGGGUGCUAACGUCCGUCGUGAAGAGGGAAACAACCCAGACCGCCAGCUAAGGUCCCAAAGUCAUGGUUAAGUGGGAAACGAUGUGGGAAGGCCCAGACAGCCAGGAUGUUGGCUUAGAAGCAGCCAUCAUUUAAAGAAAGCGUAAUAGCUCACUGGUCGAGUCGGCCUGCGCGGAAGAUGUAACGGGGCUAAACCAUGCACCGAAGCUGCGGCAGCGACGCUGAUGCGUUGUUGGGUAGGGGAGCGUUCUGUAAGCCUGCGAAGGUGUGCUGUGAGGCAUGCUGGAGGUAUCAGAAGUGCGAAUGCUGACAUAAGUAACGAUAAAGCGGGUGAAAAGCCCGCUCGCCGGAAGACCAAGGGUUCCUGUCCAACGUUAAUCGGGGCAGGGUGAGUCGACCCCUAAGGCGAGGCCGAAAGGCGUAGUCGAUGGGAAACAGGUUAAUAUUCCUGUACUUGGUGUUACUGCGAAGGGGGGACGGAGAAGGCUAUGUUGGCCGGGCGACGGUUGUCCCGGUUUAAGCGUGUAGGCUGGUUUUCCAGGCAAAUCCGGAAAAUCAAGGCUGAGGCGUGAUGACGAGGCACUACGGUGCUGAAGCAACAAAUGCCCUGCUUCCAGGAAAAGCCUCUAAGCAUCAGGUAACAUCAAAUCGUACCCCAAACCGACACAGGUGGUCAGGUAGAGAAUACCAAGGCGCUUGAGAGAACUCGGGUGAAGGAACUAGGCAAAAUGGUGCCGUAACUUCGGGAGAAGGCACGCUGAUAUGUAGGUGAAGUCCCUCGCGGAUGGAGCUGAAAUCAGUCGAAGAUACCAGCUGGCUGCAACUGUUUAUUAAAAACACAGCACUGUGCAAACACGAAAGUGGACGUAUACGGUGUGACGCCUGCCCGGUGCCGGAAGGUUAAUUGAUGGGGUUAGCGCAAGCGAAGCUCUUGAUCGAAGCCCCGGUAAACGGCGGCCGUAACUAUAACGGUCCUAAGGUAGCGAAAUUCCUUGUCGGGUAAGUUCCGACCUGCACGAAUGGCGUAAUGAUGGCCAGGCUGUCUCCACCCGAGACUCAGUGAAAUUGAACUCGCUGUGAAGAUGCAGUGUACCCGCGGCAAGACGGAAAGACCCCGUGAACCUUUACUAUAGCUUGACACUGAACAUUGAGCCUUGAUGUGUAGGAUAGGUGGGAGGCUUUGAAGUGUGGACGCCAGUCUGCAUGGAGCCGACCUUGAAAUACCACCCUUUAAUGUUUGAUGUUCUAACGUUGACCCGUAAUCCGGGUUGCGGACAGUGUCUGGUGGGUAGUUUGACUGGGGCGGUCUCCUCCUAAAGAGUAACGGAGGAGCACGAAGGUUGGCUAAUCCUGGUCGGACAUCAGGAGGUUAGUGCAAUGGCAUAAGCCAGCUUGACUGCGAGCGUGACGGCGCGAGCAGGUGCGAAAGCAGGUCAUAGUGAUCCGGUGGUUCUGAAUGGAAGGGCCAUCGCUCAACGGAUAAAAGGUACUCCGGGGAUAACAGGCUGAUACCGCCCAAGAGUUCAUAUCGACGGCGGUGUUUGGCACCUCGAUGUCGGCUCAUCACAUCCUGGGGCUGAAGUAGGUCCCAAGGGUAUGGCUGUUCGCCAUUUAAAGUGGUACGCGAGCUGGGUUUAGAACGUCGUGAGACAGUUCGGUCCCUAUCUGCCGUGGGCGCUGGAGAAUUGAGGGGGGCUGCUCCUAGUACGAGAGGACCGGAGUGGACGCAUCACUGGUGUUCGGGUUGUCAUGCCAAUGGCAUUGCCCGGUAGCUAAAUGCGGAAGAGAUAAGUGCUGAAAGCAUCUAAGCACGAAACUUGCCCCGAGAUGAGUUCUCCCUGACUCCUUGAGAGUCCUGAAGGAACGUUGAAGACGACGACGUUGAUAGGCCGGGUGUGUAAGCGCAGCGAUGCGUUGAGCUAACCGGUACUAAUGAACCGUGAGGCUUAACCUUACAACGCCGAAGCUGUU